rnacentral:sRNA from 2 species
UUGGUAUAAUUUCCAUGUUCCGGCGGAGGAACCCGGUUUGAAUCCGGGGCUGCCCCGCAACGGUGAUGUCCGUCCCUGACGGACUUAGCCCGGUCUACCGCCUGAACUGUCGCAGCCUGCGAGGGACGGCCUUUU